CCGCGGUGCGCGCUCCGCGGGGCCCGGGAAUCCCCGGCGCCCUGGACCGCCCACCGAGUAGCUAAUGCCUUUCACCAUUGCUCCUCCACCGCUCCUCUGGCCCCAACUUUCCCCAGCCCAGACACGCGAGCGCGCGCGCACACCCACACACAGACACACACCCGCGUGCACACACACACACACGCAUACACGUACACACAUGCCUCCCCUCCCUCGACCCCAGCUCUACUUCCCCGCGUAGUUUGGAGAUGACAGAUGCCUGUAGACUUUCACCAACAAGCGGUGGGGGCAGCAGACUACAACAGUUAUUUAAUUAAAAGGCAUUUUUCCUCUCUCUAUUUCUCGCUCCAGCUCCCAGAAUAGCUUUUUCACCCCUAGACCCUGAGCACAUGCCUGUCUCUCCAGGUUACCAGUGGCCCGCUGACAUCCAUCUCCUUCCACGCCCCCCUUCCGGCGUCUACCCCCAGCGUCCCUGGGCCCCCCGAGUCACACCGACACGCACACCUACAGGCCGGCGGCGUGGAGCGUCUAGGGCACGAUGCAGCCGGACUGCAUUGCACAGUCAUCAAAGUUAAGUGUGUUUGUGGGGUGCUUCUGUGCCCCAGGGGAGGCGCGGGGUCAGGAGGAGCGGAGGCUCCACUCUGCACCCCACCCCCCCCACCUCCGCGGGUCAGGGGACGCCUCUACUUGAGAUUGCAGCCAUUUUAGGGAAAGAGGCGGCUCGGGCCCCGAGGGGAGUGGAGGGGGGACAGCACGUCGCGGGGGGCUUGCGGCUCUGCAGCCCCUCGGCGCAACUGGAAGGCGGGUAGGCGCCGGGCGCACAGGGGCGCGGCGCCCGCGGCGACUUGGGGAAGGUUGCGCUCGAGUUCCCUGGUUCUGCCUGGAGUUGUUCGGGAUCUAACUGAGCCCAUCACAGGCCUGCUCUUCUAUGAACAUUUCCCCCCUGCAUACCAGAUGGAGGAUGUGCAGGGGACCCCAGGUGACCGGAUGAGAGCUCUGCCUCUCCAGAGCCAUAGAGAUUUUCACCAGAGCCAUAGAGAGGCGUGCUCUCUCUGCUGGGAGAGCAAGGCUGGGAGAAUGUGUAAGCCUGGCGCUCUUCCAGGCCAUUUGACUCCCACCGGAAUGAACCCAGCUGCUUAAGAAUGAAGCCAGCUCAGAAGGAAAGAGAGCCUGAGAGGAAGCACUGCAGAUUCCUGACUUAGAUCCUUUGAGUAACUGGAUCCAGCCCAACCUGAAGCUAGACACCUCCCUGGACUUUCUAAGUGUGUAAGCCAAUAAACGUCUCCUCAUUAUAAGCCAGUCUGAGGCUGAUUUAUAGAAGUUAAGCAUUUUGGCCAAGAUCGCACAUCUAACAAGUGUGGAGUAAUAUUCAGAUCCAUACAACCCUAAUUCCAUAUGUGCUAGGGUUCUUAACCACCAUGCUGUACAGUGGCAAAUAGCAUCUAUGGCUGGACAGAGCUCAGAGCCACAUCCUUUCAUUGCCUGGCCCUCACUGGGAGUCUCUUCCCUUCCAGAAGCAGCUGCCAAUUUGUUUAACAGAGUAAUUGAUCAGGGUACAUCUUGAUUUUCUUUGUUUGUUUGUUUUUGACUCUCAUGGAGGCAAACAUCUCAGCUGUAUUUGAAUUGUUUGUUGCAUCAAAUCAUUAAAUGUCUGGACAUGUCUCGAUCACUUGGUGAAAGGCUGGAGUGGAGGUGAGAGAAAGUGUAAAAAGAAAAUAG
rnacentral:lncRNA from 10 species